rnacentral:rRNA from 1 species
AGAGUUUGAUCAUGGCUCAGAACGAACGCUGGCGGCAGGCUUAACACAUGCAAGUCGAACGAUGUAGCAAUACAUAGUGGCGCACGGGUGAGUAACGCGUGGGAACGUGCCUUUUAGUUAGGAAUAACAGUUGGAAACGACUGCUAAUACCUUAUACGCCCUUCGGGGGAAAGAUUUAUCGCUAAAAGAUCGGCCCGCGUGAGAUUAGGUAGUUGGUGGGGUAAUGGCCUACCAAGCCUACGAUCUCUAGCUGGUCUGAGAGGAUGAUCAGCCACACUGGAACUGAGACACGGUCCAGACUCCUACGGGAGGCAGCAGUGGGGAAUAUUGGACAAUGGGCGAAAGCCUGAUCCAGCCAUGCCGCGUGUGUGAUGAAGGCCUUAGGGUUGUAAAGCACUUUUGUCAGGGAAGAUAAUGACGGUACCUGAAGAAUAAGCACCGGCUAACUUCGUGCCAGCAGCCGCGGUAAUACGAAGGGUGCUAGCGUUGUUCGGAAUCACUGGGCGUAAAGCGCGCGUAGGCGGCGAUAUAAGUCAGAGGUGAAAGCCUGGAGCUCAACUCCAGAACUGCCUUUGAAACUAUAUUGCUAGAGUGUUGGAGGGGAUAGCGGAAUUGCUAAUGUAGAGGUGAAAUUCGUAGAUAUUAGCAGGAACACCGGUGGCGAAGGCGGCUAUCUGGACAACAACUGACGCUGAGGCGCGAAAGCGUGGGGAUCAAACAGGAUUAGAUACCCUAGUAGUCC